rnacentral:rRNA from 1 species
UACGUAGGGUGCAAGCGUUGUCCGGAAUUAUUGGGCGUAAAGAGCUCGUAGGCGGUCUGUCACGUCGGCUGUGAAAACCCGAGGCUCAACCUCGGGCCUGCAGUCGAUACGGGCAGACUAGAGUUCGGUAGGGGAGACUGGAAUUCCUGGUGUAGCGGUGAAAUGCGCAGAUAUCGGGAGGAACACCCGUAGCGAAGGCGGCACUCUGGGCCGGAACUGACGCUGAGGAGCGAAAGCGUGGGGAGCAAACAGG